rnacentral:rRNA from 1 species
UACGGAGGGGGCUAGCGUUGUCCGGAAUCAUUGGGCGUAAAGCGCGCGUAGGCGGCCCGGUAAGUCCGCUGUAAAAGUCAAAGGCUCAACCUUUGAAUGUCAGUGGAUACUGCCGGGCUAGAGUCCGGAAGAGGCGAGUGGAACUCCUGGUGUAGCGGUGAAAUGCGUAGAUAUCAAGAGGAACACCUGCGGCGAAGGCGGGUUGCUGGGCCGACACUGACGCUGAUGCGCGAAAGCGUGGGGAGCAAACAGG